GGGUUGUGAGGUUAAGCGACUAAGCGUACACGGUGGAUGCCCUGGCAGUCAGAGGCGAUGAAGGGCGUGCUAAUCUGCGAUAAGCGCCGGUAAGGUGAUAUGAACCGUUAUAACCGGCGAUACCCGAAUGGGGAAACCCAGUGUGACUCGUCACACUAUCAUUAACUGAAUCCAUAGGUUAAUGAGGCGAACCGGGGGAACUGAAACAUCUAAGUACCCCGAGGAAAAGAAAUCAACCGAGAUUCCCCCAGUAGCGGCGAGCGAACGGGGAGGAGCCCAGAGCCUGAAUCAGCAUGUGUGUUAGUGGAAGCGUCUGGAAAGGCGCGCGAUACAGGGUGACAGCCCCGUACACAAAAGCGCAUGUGCUGUGAGCUCGAUGAGUAGGGCGGGACACGUGGUAUCCUGUCUGAAUAUGGGGGGACCAUCCUCCAAGGCUAAAUACUCCUGACUGACCGAUAGUGAACCAGUACCGUGAGGGAAAGGCGAAAAGAACCCCGGCGAGGGGAGUGAAAAAGAACCUGAAACCGUGUACGUACAAGCAGUGGGAGCCCCACCACCAAAGCAUUCUCUGGUGUUGAAGGCCCUGCAAAGCAGCAUCGCGGUGGCGGAGCGUCGUUUGCGACGCCCAACACACAAAACAAGCGGUGAGUGCUUUGGGGUGGGGUGACUGCGUACCUUUUGUAUAAUGGGUCAGCGACUUAUAUUCUGUAGCAAGGUUAACCGUAUAGGGGAGCCGGAGGGAAACCGAGUCUUAAUUGGGCGUUAAGUUGCAGGGUAUAGACCCGAAACCCGGUGAUCUAGCCAUGGGCAGGUUGAAGGUUGGGUAACACUAACUGGAGGACCGAACCGACUAAUGUUGAAAAAUUAGCGGAUGACCUGUGGCUGGGGGUGAAAGGCCAAUCAAACCGGGAGAUAGCUGGUUCUCCCCGAAAGCUAUUUAGGUAGCGCCUCGUGAAUUCAUCUCCGGGGGUAGAGCACUGUUUCGGCUAGGGGGCCAUCCCGGCUUACCAACCCGAUGCAAACUGCGAAUACCGGAGAAUGUUAUCACGGGAGACACACGGCGGGUGCUAACGUCCGUCGUGAAGAGGGAAACAACCCAGACCGCCAGCUAAGGUCCCAAAGUCAUGGUUAAGUGGGAAACGAUGUGGGAAGGCCCAGACAGCCAGGAUGUUGGCUUAGAAGCAGCCAUCAUUUAAAGAAAGCGUAAUAGCUCACUGGUCGAGUCGGCCUGCGCGGAAGAUGUAACGGGGCUAAACCAUGCACCGAAGCUGCGGCAGCGACACUGAUGUGUUGUUGGGUAGGGGAGCGUUCUGUAAGCCUGUGAAGGUGGCCUGUGAGGGUUGCUGGAGGUAUCAGAAGUGCGAAUGCUGACAUAAGUAACGAUAAAGCGGGUGAAAAGCCCGCUCGCCGGAAGACCAAGGGUUCCUGUCCAACGUUAAUCGGGGCAGGGUGAGUCGACCCCUAAGGCGAGGCCGAAAGGCGUAGUCGAUGGGAAACGGGUUAAUAUUCCCGUACUUGGUGUUACUGCGAAGGGGGGACGGAGAAGGCUAUGUUGGCCGGGCGACGGUUGUCCCGGUUUAAGCGUGUAGGUGUGUGUUCCAGGUAAAUCCGGUUCACUUUAACACUGAGGCGUGAUGACGAGGCACUACGGUGCUGAAGCAACAAAUGCCCUGCUUCCAGGAAAAGCCUCUAAGCAUCAGGUAACAUCAAAUCGUACCCCAAACCGACACAGGUGGUCAGGUAGAGAAUACCAAGGCGCUUGAGAGAACUCGGGUGAAGGAACUAGGCAAAAUGGUGCCGUAACUUCGGGAGAAGGCACGCUGACACGUAGGUGAAGUGAUUUACUCAUGGAGCUGAAGUCAGUCGAAGAUACCAGCUGGCUGCAACUGUUUAUUAAAAACACAGCACUGUGCAAACACGAAAGUGGACGUAUACGGUGUGACGCCUGCCCGGUGCCGGAAGGUUAAUUGAUGGGGUCAGCGCAAGCGAAGCUCCUGAUCGAAGCCCCGGUAAACGGCGGCCGUAACUAUAACGGUCCUAAGGUAGCGAAAUUCCUUGUCGGGUAAGUUCCGACCUGCACGAAUGGCGUAAUGAUGGCCAGGCUGUCUCCACCCGAGACUCAGUGAAAUUGAACUCGCUGUGAAGAUGCAGUGUACCCGCGGCAAGACGGAAAGACCCCGUGAACCUUUACUAUAGCUUGACACUGAACAUUGAGCCUUGAUGUGUAGGAUAGGUGGGAGGCUUUGAAGUGUGGACGCCAGUCUGCAUGGAGCCGACCUUGAAAUACCACCCUUUAAUGUUUGAUGUUCUAACGUGGACCCGUUACCCGGGUUGCGGACAGUGUCUGGUGGGUAGUUUGACUGGGGCGGUCUCCUCCUAAAGAGUAACGGAGGAGCACGAAGGUUGGCUAAUCCUGGUCGGACAUCAGGAGGUUAGUGCAAUGGCAUAAGCCAGCUUGACUGCGAGCGUGACGGCGCGAGCAGGUGCGAAAGCAGGUCAUAGUGAUCCGGUGGUUCUGAAUGGAAGGGCCAUCGCUCAACGGAUAAAAGGUACUCCGGGGAUAACAGGCUGAUACCGCCCAAGAGUUCAUAUCGACGGCGGUGUUUGGCACCUCGAUGUCGGCUCAUCACAUCCUGGGGCUGAAGUAGGUCCCAAGGGUAUGGCUGUUCGCCAUUUAAAGUGGUACGCGAGCUGGGUUUAGAACGUCGUGAGACAGUUCGGUCCCUAUCUGCCGUGGGCGCUGGAGAACUGAGGGGGGCUGCUCCUAGUACGAGAGGACCGGAGUGGACGCAUCACUGGUGUUCGGGUUGUCAUGCCAAUGGCACUGCCCGGUAGCUAAAUGCGGAAGAGAUAAGUGCUGAAAGCAUCUAAGCACGAAACUUGCCCCGAGAUGAGUUCUCCCUGAGACUUAAAGUCUCCUGAAGGAACGUUGAAGACGACGACGUUGAUAGGCCGGGUGUGUAAGCGCAGCGAUGCGUUGAGCUAACCGGUACUAAUGAACCGUGAGGCUUAACCUUACAACGCCGAAG
rnacentral:rRNA from 1 species